CAGUCGCCGCAGCAGCACGUAGCUCAGUCACUUGCGGGGAGCGACUCUCUCCCACACCCAGCGUGGAGUGCAGGCCCAGUGUUUGCCCCGUUCGGUCGGCCCUGCAGGGGCACUGGGCGUGUGCGCGUGCGUGUGCGCGUGCGAGAGGUGCGGGGCGGGCGAGGGAGAGAGUGAGAGGGCAGGGUGGAUGGCCCCGCCGGCGCGACACAGUGCGGCGUACGGUUGACGGUGCCAUGACGCGCUCGUAAGGAUUACUUCAGCGUGCUUCGACGCCCUCGCGCUCACGAGGGCUUCCGGGGCUCCGGCAGGUAUCAUCGGCUCUGGACGAGCGUCGUCGUGCACAGGCGUGUCCACGCCGACCCUCACUCUGCCGUCAGCCUCAGGUCCGGGAGCAUCAACAGCUCUGGAGCAGCAUGGACACGUUCGGACGGUGAUACUUGGCAGUCCAUCAUCGUCCUGCACUCAUCGUGACCGCUCGGCGAGGACGGCGCCUCAGUGUCCACCAUGACGGCGGUCGUGCUCGCGGCGGCGGUGCUCGCGGUGCUGCUGCUGGGCACCCAGGAGGCCAGGGCGUUCAACCUGACCUGGGGCGAGCUGCGGGAGGCCAUGGGGCCCCGGGGCGGGGGCCGCGGCGGCCAGGGGCCCGACGACCUGGUGCCCUCCUGCGACCACUGGCACAGCCGCUACUCCAUGCGCCCUCCCAACGAGCCCUCGCUCUGCAUCACGCACGCCAACUGUACUCGUGCGUCCUGCCACCUCCUGUUCGAGCUGGACGAGGCGGUGACGGACAGGCCGACGACCGCCGUCCCGCCCCCGCUGUACAGUGAGCGGCCCAGCCAGUCCGCGGUGUGGGGAUGGGGAAUGCUCUCUGUCGGCAUCAUCUCGCUCUCUGGCAUCUUCGGCGGGCUGCUGUGGCCUCUGCUCAACAGCCGCUACUACUCGACCGUCAUGAGGUUCCUGAUCGGGCUGGCCGCUGGUUCGCUCACCGCCACCUCCAUCUUCCAGCUCAUACCGGAGAGCCUGAACCUCACUCUGGGGGGCGAACAGAGCCACCUGGACACGGGGCUCAUUAUGCUCAGCAGUAUCUGGUUCCUGUACUUCGGCGAGACGGCCUGCAAGAUAUUUUUCAGCAGCGAGGAUCCUGAUGCAGUUGCAGGCUUAGAGAAGGGGUUGGCGCUCAAGGAGAGGAAGGGCCAGGGCAACCACGCCGACGGGCACCUCCCCGAGACGGACGGGCUGAUGGCGACGACGACCGCAAAGGCCAAACAUAAGGACCACGGGCACGGCCACUCGCAUGGCGGUCAGGGCCCCGGCGGCGGGCUGGCCGCCGUGGCCUGGAUGGUGGUGCUGGGCGACGGGCUGCACAACUUCGUGGACGGCAUGAGCAUCGGCGCCGGCUACACGCAGAGCAUCGGCACGGGCGUGUCCAUCAGCCUGGCCAUUGCGUGCGAGGAGUUCCCCCACGAGCUGGGCGACUUCGCCAUCCUCAUCAACUCGGGCGUCUCCUUCAAGCGCGCGCUCGCGCUCAACUUCGCCUCGGCCUGCACGGCCUUCGGCGGCCUCGUGCUCGGCGUGCUCAUCGGCGAGGUGGAGUACUCGUACCUCAUCUUCGCCUUCGCGGGCGGCCUGUUCCUCUACAUCGCGCUCGGCAGCCUGACUCCCGAGCUGAAGACUAUGGUUGAGGAGGAGCUGAGCACCAAAGGCAGAAAAACAGCUAGCCUCGCCCUUUUCUUGCAAUUGCUUGGCGUUUCUUUUGGAGCAACAGCUCUGUACCUAAUAACCAGGUACAACGACAGUAUACGCGUGUAACGUUACUUCAUGUCUACACUGCCAUUUGAAGUGGCCAACAGAAGACUUGCACGUGUAAUAAUAAAUUUCAUACACUUGCAAGUGUUUUCCAGUUGAACACUUAAAAUGACUCUGUUUGUAAAUAUGUAAUGUCUUUAUUUACCAGGUUAAAGAAAAAAUCGCAAAAAUAGACAAAACAUGAAAUUAAGGCGUGAAGUACACAAAAAUUCCUAAUGUA